rnacentral:rRNA from 1 species
UACGAGGGGUGCGAGCGUUAUUCGGAAUUAUUGGGCGUACAGGGCGCGUAGACGGCAUAUUAAGUCAACUGUUAAAUUCCCCGGCCUAACUGGGGGCACGCAGUAGAUACUGGUUGUGCUUGAGGAUGGAAGAGAGAAGUGGAAUUCUCGGAGUAGCGGUAAAAUGCGUAGAUCUCGAGAGGAACACCGAUGGCGAAGGCAGCUUCUUGGUCCAUACCUGACGUUGAGGCGCGAAAGCGUGGGGAGCAAA